UAUAAGAAUGCUUUUUUGGGCGAAAAACAGCUGCUUCUUCCUGCUGAUGUUGGCAUAUGGAAUAUAGCAACAGCACUUCCUUUCACUCAUCAUGUGUCCAUGGCUCUCAAGGUCAAAACUGCUGAAACCAAGGUUGUUCUGGUGAACCUGUUGAUAUGCACGGUAGUUUUCUACACUGUUUACUAUGUGGUCCUAUCUGUGUGCUUCGCAGUAUUCAAGAUUAAAAUGUUGGAUGGUUUGGCACCUUUUGAUUUUAAGACAAAUCCCUCAUGGAUAAACCCAUAUUAUUUAGUACUUGUGAUAUCAUUGGAAAUAACUUUCUUCAUUUGUGGUCUGCUGUUUGCCCUGGUUGUGGAAGAAUGGGUUUGGGAUUAUUCUGUAACAGUUACUAUUAUUCAUAUCAUCAUAACUUCAGUCGUUAUGUCUGAAUUCCCCCUGAUGUUACACUGGUGGCUGGCAUUAGGAUCUGGAGUAAUUUCGAUGACUUGUGGAGGACAGAUUUUGGCAUACUGCUUGUUCAAAGACAACUUCAUUUACCCAAUUCUAGAUGAUUUUUGAAAAGGAAAAUUAGAACUUGCCUGUUUAUUUAUAUGAACUCUAUGGUUUCAUUAACACCAUAAUGAAAAUGAAGUUAGCAACUGCCUAAUUAUACUCAUCGUGACCAAGUGAGCUUCAUUAAACUGAGAAAAGAUGUGAAUGCCUUAUGCAUUCUUCAUUCCAUCAUCUGCUACGUAUGUUGUCACAUCAUAAAGUUAGAUCCUGGCUAAUCUUCUCAGGUAUUUAAAGCUUUAUUUAAAUAUUUUUGUAUCUUCCAAAUGUGACUGACUUAGAAUAUUUAUUUCUUGGCUUAAGAUCCUGUGUAAUGAUCCAUCUGCUCAGUAAUUGCUAAUACUCUAUUCUCUCUUUUUUGUGAGCUAAUCAUGGCCCCAGACAGCACGUACUCUCACAUUAGAUGUCAGGGAGGAUAAAGGUCUUAGGAAUGGUUAUAAAAUUUGAUGGUGUAAUUAAUACCUUUAUUAUUGGCUUUAAACCUUUUAGUGUGAGACUAUGAUUUUAAGAUGCAGACCUAUGUCCCAACCUCUCCUCUGCUCAGGGAGAAUGAUACAGAUCCCUUCAGAGUGCCCCUUCAGAUGCACCAGGAUAAGUAUGCCUACGUCGUAGGGCAGGCAUGCUCUGUGAUGGACUUACAUCCUACUCCAUUAAUUCUCCAGUUCAGGGGACCAACUUAAUACCUUGCAGACAUCUCCCAGUUCAUACCAUCGGGUUUCCUCUGCCAACAAGGGUGAAAGAAGGGAAAGAUGCGUGUCUGGAUGUCAUCCUGACAUGUAGCUGUAGCAUGGGAUUGGCUUGGUUUGUGGAUUUGCGAAGUGACUCUAGGACAUCAACUAUGGACAACCAAACUCUGAGGAAAGGCCUUGGUCCCAAUCUUUUAAAGUUGCCUAUCCUUAGAAAAUAGUCACAAUCAAAUAUAAGGAUGAUGGUUGAAACUGGAGCCUGUAAGAGAUAUGCAAGGUACUUUCAGUCUCUUGCUGUCAUUGUUCUAAAUCAGAGAUAGUCACACCCUGGCCAUUACUGUUCCAUCUUUUCUAGUGAAAAUGAAUCUUAAUAUGAAAUUAUUUGCUAUGGAUUUGUAAACAAAGGGUCCACUCCUGCUUCCAACAGCAAAGAGCCUGUUGUCUCCAUAGGAGCAAUACUCUAUCAAAGGACCACUCAUAUGUACCCAGACCUUCUCUCAGAGCAAUCUUGUUACCAGAUUUUCAGUAUGAAAGGGAGAAGCAUUUAAAUAAGACAUGGAUGAUGGCAAAUUUCUCAAAUACAUUAAGAAUUUAGAAUUAGCAAUUUCUUAGAAGUCUUCAGACCCCUUUGGACUGAAAUUACAUCUACAUCAGCAGCUUUCAAAAUACUCUGAAAAAGUGCUUUGAUUCACUUCACAAACCUUGAUAGAGGACCACACAAUGAUGUAUCAUUAAAAAUGACAAAAAGGAUCAAUGUGUUUGAUAUCUCAUAUGGUAUUAACUGAAAUAAAUUGUAAAUAUUGGCCAAAUUAUAUGAGUAAAUUCAACAGCAAAUCAUAUUUACAUUAAUUUGAAUUUAGUAUAUUUAAAAUUAAUCUGAAUUCUAAGGAAUCUUUUUAACACUACUUCACUGGAAAAUUACAGUGAAUCCUACAAAAAUGAGGAGUAUUCCUUAGUACAUUCCCAGGAGAGAGAAGGGCAGGCAGUGAGUGGCAAAGGUGGAGGAAUGAGCGUGUUUCAUGAAUGUAGCUGCUUCAAUAUCCAAGGAAAAUGAAAGAGAACUUCAAGGAUAUGGACCAAUUUACCUAUCUGGGAAUAACUUUCCAUUCUAAGAGGAGAUGUGCUGGAAACUAGGUCCUGGCAAAAUCUUUCAGUAAAUCAUUGAUACACAGAAAUUCAUUUUAAGACAGCCAGAAUCAUCUGUGAACACAGUUAAUUGAGUUUUGCUUGAAAAAGAUAAAAGGUGAACAGCAUCAGUACGUGUUUGUUUCAGUCCCAUUAGAUUUCAGUGGCCCAGGCUGGACUCGCAAGGGUGCCAGCAAGACGAGAACGAGAGGGCUGCAAUGACAGUGGAUACAUUCCAAUCUAAAGCAUUAAACACUCUAGAUUGAACUUAUCAGUCAAUUAUUUGGUAUGCUGUAUUUUCCAGCAGUUUUUUAAGCAUGCUUUAGAAAUAAAUUUUAGUUCCUGAACCACUGCCGUUGAAUCAUAUAAAGAGAAAUGCAACUUGUAAUUGAAAAGCAACUACUGUUUUCCAUUGUUAAGAAAUGAAACAACAUUGCAUCUUCAGGUUUUGAGCAAAUAAAAUCAAUUUUGAUGAAACACAGUGUUGCAUUAAACAGAGAUUUUCUCACAAAAAUCUGUUUAGACCAGAAGGUAUUUUUACUGAAAAAAAUGUUUUUUCCCAAAUGAUAAUGUUUCGUACCUUAUUUGUUGUAUGUAUUUUUAGAAUGUGUUAUGUAUCACUAGAUAACACUUGCAGACUGUUCCAGUUGCCGAGGUAACUAUGUUAUUUUAAUGAUCAGUGGAGAGGAUC